AUGAAGGAUUUAGGAGUGGCUGAUGUCAUUCUGAACAUCAAGUUGUUGAGGGACGAUGAUGGUGGGAUUACAUUGCUUCAAUCUCACUAUGUGGAAAAGAUCUUGAGUCGCUUUGGCUACAGUGACUGCAAGCCCUCUCCAACACCAUAUGAUGCUAGUGUGUUGAUUCAAAAGAAUCGAAGAAUUGCUAGAGACCAAUUGAAGUAUUCUCAGAUUAUUGGCUCGCUUAUGUACUUAGCUAGUGCUACAAGACCCGACAUCUCUUUUGCUGUUAGCAAACUGAGUCGGUUUGUUUCAAAACCAGGAGAUGUGCAUUGGAUAGCUCUAGAGAAAGUUUUGCGUUAUUUGAAAGGCACUACGAAUUAUGGAAUUCACUACACUGGGCACCCAAAGGUGCUUGAAGGGUAUAGUGACUCAAACUGGAUCUCAGAUGCUGAUGAGAUAAAGGCCACGAGUGGUUAUGAAAGUGAGCAACUCAAAGGAUAA
rnacentral:rRNA from 1 species